UCCGUUUUGUCAACGGCAGUCUCACUAGAGUCCUCAACUUAAUGCUAGCAACUAGUGACAGGGGUUGCGCUCGUUGCAGGACUUAACCUAACACCUCACGGCACGAGCUGACGACAACCAUGCAGCACCUUGAAAAUUGUCCGAAGAAAAGCCUAUUUCUAAGCCUGUCAAUUCCCAUUUAAGCCUUGGUAAGGUUCCUCGCGUAUCAUCGAAUUAAACCACAUAAUCCACCGCUUGUGCGGGCCCCCGUCAAUUCCUUUGAGUUUCAUUCUUGCGAACGUACUCCCCAGGUGGCUAACUUAUCACUUUCGCUUAGUCUCUGAAUCCGAAGACCCAAAAACGAGUUAGCAUCGUUUACGGCGUGGACUAC
rnacentral:misc_RNA from 1 species